rnacentral:rRNA from 1 species
AACGAACGCUGGCGGCGUGCCUAACACAUGCAAGUCGAGCGCGAAAAGGGCAACCUGAGUAGAGCGGCGCACGGGUGCGUAACACGUGGGUAAUCUGCCUUAGAGUCGAGGAUAACCUUCCGAAAGGUUGGCUAAUACUCGGUAAGCUUACGGUGUCUUCGGACGCUGUGGGAAAAGUAGGCCUCUGUUUACAAGCUUACGCUCUGAGAUGAGCCCGCGGCCCAUCAGCUAGUUGGCGGUGUAACGGACCACCAAGGCAACGACGGGUAGCUGGUCUGUGAGGACGAUCAGCCACACUGGAACAGAGACACGGUCCAUCAUCCUACGGGAGGCAUCAGUGGGGAAUUUUCCACAAUGGGCGAAAGCCUGCUGGAGCAACGCCGCGUGUGUGAUGAAGGUUUUCGGGUCGUAAAGCACUUUCGACUGGGACGAAAAACCUUUGGCUAACAUCCAGGGGCCUGACGGUACCAGGAGAAGAAGCACCGGCUAACUCUGUGCCAGCCGCCGCCGUAA